AGACAGUAGCACUACUGUGUUGCUGGCCCUACCAAAUCCAGGACCUCGGUUCAAGCCAUCCGUCCAUUUUUUCUGUUUAUCCCUGUACUGUCGUUCAUUAUGACUUAAAUCGAGUUCACUCUCCAUAUUAUCAUAAUGAUUCUGAUUUCUGAUUGUCUGAAAAAGAGAAGCAACGAACUAGCGAAAAGAAUUAGAGUCGCUUAGGAGGAGAGACGCCAUUGUUUUGGGAAUGGGCAAAGACAUGCUAGUGAAAUGUGCAUAAAUUUCGUCGCUCUGGAGGUCAAAUUGUGGUUGAAACCUCUCAAAUAGGAGCAGAAAUUGUUGGAAUUGCAGAACGUGAGAAGAAGGCGAGUGGACAGGACAAUCCGGGAACCCCAAUGUGUGCUGUCUUGGUGGUGGUGGUGGCCCUGAUGGCCCUGAUGGACCUGGCUCAAGCUGUGCCUCACCCUGACCCUGCUGCUAACCCUGACCCACAGUUCGAAGCUUUGCAUCGCACUUUAAGUCGCGGUCUUGCUAGAAGCUUGGUUCAUAUUCGUAAUUUAUUACAUUAAUAUUUUCUUCUGUCCUCUUCGUGUCCCCCAUUUUUAUCCAAGUGAAGACUGCAAGAAGUGAAAAUGUAAUAAUAAUAACUAAAAAAUUAAUUCUAAAUUAUGCCAAAGGAAAAUCAAAUUUCUAGAAAUGAGUUUCGAUUUCGAAGCUUAGAAUAACUCACCUUCUUGUACUAGAGGGGACACAGAUAAUCUACUGGAGAUACAGCGUAUAAUAACGCACCUUCAUGUACUAGAAGGAACACGGAUAAGCUACUGACACUGCUCAAAUCUUAGAGUAAUGCAGCUUCGUGUACUAAAGAGAACACAGAUAAACUACUGACGCUACUCCAAUAUCUUCCCCACUGCUCCAUCUCGUAUCUUAAACCUCUAACAUUUCCAGCAUGACUCUUGUGAAGUACCUAAUUAAUUGAUGCAGAGUAAAUAAUUAUAAGCAGAAUAUUUCCACAAUAAAAAAUAUAU